UACGUAGGCAGCGAGCGUUGUUCGGAGUUACUGGGCGUAAAGAGCUCGUAGACGGUCUGUCGCGUCGGCUGUGAAAUCCCGAGGCUCAACCUCGGGUCUGCAGUCGAUACGGGCAAACUAGAGUAUUGCAGGGGAGACUGGAAUUCCUGGUGUAGCGGUGAAAUGCGCAGAUAUCAGGAGGAACACCGGUGGCGAAGGCGGGUCUCUGGGCAAUAACUGACGCUGAGGAGCGAAAGCGUGGGGAGCGAACAGG
rnacentral:rRNA from 1 species